GACAGAGGGUGCAAACGUUGUUCGGAAUUACUGGGCGUAAAGCGCGUGUAGGCGGCCCCAGCAAGUCGGAUGUGAAAGCCCUGGGCUUAACCUAGGAAGUGCAUUCGAAAACUGCUGGGCUUGAGUGCCGGAGAGGACCAGGGAACGGGUUGUGUAGCGGUGAAAUGCGUUGAUAUAACUCGGAACACCAAUGGCGAAAGCACUGGUCUGGACGGCGACUGACGCUCAUCCACGAAAAGCCAAGGGGAGCGAACAGG
rnacentral:rRNA from 1 species